AGGGAAAGAAAAGGGAAUUAUUACUCCCUUGAUUAAGAAAUUUUGGUUUUAGAGGUAUAAUCUUUUCUCAAAAUAUGAUAAAGGAAUUAAAAUAGACGAGGAUGGAUGGUAUUCUGUUACUCCCGAAGAGAUAACCAUUAAGCAUAACGAGAAAUGCGACGGUGGUGGACUUGUCAUUGAUUUCUUUUUUGGUGUCAGUGGUAAUGCCAUCCAAUUUGCUAGACUGUGUUCUUUUGUUGUUGCUAUUUAUGUUGAUCCUCAAAAAGUUGAACUGGCGAUUAACAAUGCAAGGGUAUAUGGAGUGGAAGAUUAUAUUGAUUUCAUUGUUGGAGACUUUUUGCAACUUGUUCCAUCGUUGAAGGGAGAUAUGGUGUUUUUAUCACUACCAUGAGGUGGUCCCUCUUAUAAAACAAUUGAAAAUUUCACCACGAAUUUACUGAAGCCAAAAGAUAGAAUGUGAACAUACACUGAGUUGAAGAACUUUUGUGGUUGUCAUCUCUUCCUUUGAGCAUUGAGAUUCAGCAGAUGCAAGUAAGAGUCAAGCCACGAGAGCCAUCAUCACCAUUAAACUACCAUCGCAAUGCCUAGUAGAUGAGAUUCUUGCAAAGAGAAUGACCAUAAUCAACCAACGACCAAUAUAGGAGUAUUUCUUGAAAUGAGAAGGUUUGGGGACAAAUGAAAUCACUUGGGAGAAGGAAGCUGACCUUCGAGCCUUCAAGUAGAAGAUUGACGAGUUUCAAGUCAACUAGCUAAUGAAGACGUCGACAUAUUGAGUAAGGGAGGAUGUCAUGAGCCAACUUUGUAUUGGGCUAUGACAGGUAAAACUAUUUAAAAGACUAAGUCCUUUGUACCUUUAGGGGAGAUAUCCCCCUUUUAAACAUUGUAAUGCAACUUGGUGGUGUCUUUAGAAAUGCUUGUUAAGUAUUUAGGGGGAAAAACCCUUUCAGGAAGGAAUGUUCCCAUCUCAUACCUUGUAAUGAUUUUUGGUAAUAUACUUGUAAAAUCUCGUAAACUCUUUAUACGGGGUAAGUAAUCGACAGAUUGUUAGGCUGCCUCACUAGUAAAGGUAUGUUUAUAACCAACCAUUUAGGCCUGCCCCUAUGGCUCGAAAAUGGCACGUUUUAAUCCCUUUGUACUUUUCUCGAUAUUAAUAAAACAUUUUCUUUA
rnacentral:sRNA from 10 species